rnacentral:rRNA from 1 species
AAAGGAAUAGACGGGGGCCCGCACAAGCAGAGGAGCAUGUGGCUUAAUUCGAUGCAACGCGAAGAACCUUACCCGGGUUUGACAUGCAGCUGCACGUCCUAUGAAAGUAGGAUUCCUUCGAGGGUGCUGCACAGGUGCUGCAUGGCUGUCGUCAGUUCGUGCCGUGAGGUGUUUGGUUAAGUCCAGCAACGAACGCAACCCCUGUGUCCAGUUGCCAUCAGGUAACGCUGGGGACUCUGGACAGACUGCCCGUUCACGCGGGAGGAAGGUGGGGAUGACGUCAAGUCAGUAUGGCCCUUACAUCCGGGGCUGCACACGUGCUACAAUGGCCGGUACAAAGGGAAGCGAUGCCGCGAGGCGCAGCCAAUCCCCAAAACCGGCCCCAGUUCGGAUCGGGGUCUGCAACCCGACCCCGUGAAGCCGGAUUUGCUAGUAACGGCGCAUCAGCUACGGCGCCGUGAAUACGUUCCCGGGCCUUGUACACACCGCCCGU